rnacentral:tRNA from 1 species
GAGCCAUUAGCUCAGUCGGUAGAGCACCUGACUUUUAAUCAGGGUGUCACAGGUUCGAAUCCUGUAUGGCUCACCA